UAGUCCACGCCGUAAACGAUGAAUACUAGAUGUCGGUUUUAUAUCGGUGUCGCAGCUAACGCAUUAAGUAUUCCACCUGGGGAGUACGAUCGCAAGGUUGAAACUCAAAGGAAUUGACGGGGGCCCGCACAAGCAGUGGAGCAUGUGGUUUAAUUCGAUGCAACGCGAAGAACCUUACCUGGGCUUGAAAUGUGAUAGAUCGUCAACGAAAGUUGAUUUUCCUUCGGGACUGUUACACAGGUGCUGCACGGCUGUCGUCAGCUCGUGCCGUGAGGUGUUGGGUUAAGUCUCGCAACGAGCGCAACCCCUACCACUAGUUGCCAUCAAGUAAUGUUGGGCACUUUAAUGGGACUGCCUACGCAAGUAGUGAGGGAAGGUGGGGAUGACGUCAAGUCAGCAUGGGCCCUUACGCCCAGGGGCUACACACGUGCUACAAUGGGGUACCACAACGGGGUU
rnacentral:rRNA from 1 species